UAAAUCUGUUUUUUUUUUUUUUUUAAUUGCGUCGUAUAUGUUUUAACAUACAUAUGAUUUAUUUUCUUUAAAGCUCGCGUAUGUAUACUUUAAUUAAAUGAAGAAGAAAUUUAAAAAAAUAAAUAACCUCUUUGAUAUACUAUUCAUUUUUUUCAUCAUAUAUAGGUAUAUAUAUAUAAAUAUAAAUAAAUAUAUAUAUAUAUAGUUACCAUUGUUCAUCGUAAGUUCUAAUAAUUUUCCUUAUUUAUAUAUUUACAAUCGUUCUUUGUAAAUUCAAAUAUUUUUCCCUUAUAAUUUAAGAAAAAUACGAGCACAUAAAAAAGGUUUUUCAAAAAAAAAUAUUUUGAAUAAUUUAAAACUUUUACGUUAUGCAUUUUUUUUUUAAAUUUAUGAUAUAUAAAAAUUAUCGUAAGGUACUUUAAAAAUAUAGCCUCUUGAGAAGUCACUUGUUUAUAUGCAAUACAUAUACAUAUAUAUUUAUAUAUAUGUACAUACGCAAUUUUUUUUUUUUUUUUUUUUUUUUUUUUUUUUUUAACAAUAUUUAUAUUUUACAUACAGCAAAUUUUCAACUGCUACAUUUUAAUACUCUUUUUUUUAAGCGUAUAACUUUUAUUUAUUUUUUUUACCAAAAAUUUAUUACAUAUUAAUUUUUUAUAAAUAUUAUAUUUAUAAGUAAUUUUUUUUUUUCUUUUUACCAAUAUAAGAAAACAUUAAAUAUAUAUAACAAAAGAAAAAGGUUUUUUCCUUACUUUUUCAUAUAGUCACAAAUUUUAACUUUUAACAUAUUUAUUUUACAAAAAUAUAAAAGAAAAAAUGGCAGCUGUUCCAGUAUCACAAUUACCAGAAACUGAAAAGCAAGAGCUUUUAUGUACCUAUGCUAGUUUAAUAUUACAUGAAGAGAAGAUGAGUAUAACUGGUGAAAACAUUUCAAAGCUCAUUAAAAAAUCAAACAACACUGUUUUACCAUACUUACCAAUGCUUUUCGAAAAAGCAUUAAAUGGAAAGGAUAUAUCGAGUUUACUAAGUAACCUAAGUGUUGGUGGUGGUGCUCCAGCAGGCGCUGCACAAGGUACAACCGAGGAAGUCGGUGAAGCUAAAAAGGAAGAGAAAAAAGAAGAGAAAGUAGAAGAGGAAGAAGAAGAAGACGAUUUAGGUUUUUCAUUAUUUGGUUAGAUUAUAGUUAAUUAAAAAAAAACUAAGCAAAGCCACUUUAAUUUAUAAUUAUAAAUUACUCAAGAUUAUAUGUUUAUUAAACUUUAAUAAACAAAUUAUAGUCCAUUGUAUUGCA
rnacentral:lncRNA from 1 species